rnacentral:rRNA from 1 species
AGCAGCCGCGGUAAUUCCAGCUCCAAUAGCGUAUAUUAAAGUUGUUGCAGUUAAAAAGCUCGUAGUUGAAUUUCGGGAUUAGUACGUUGGUCGUGCCUUCGGUACGUACUGGUGUUACUGAUUCCUACCUUCUGACGAACCAUCAUGUCAUUAAUUUGGUGUGGCGGGGAAUCAGGACUGUUACUUUGAAAAAAUUAGAGUGUUUAAAGCAGGCUCGCGCUUGAAUACAUUAGCAUGGAAUAAUGAAAUAGGACGUUGACCCUAUUUUGUUGGUUUCUAGGAUUGACGUAAUGAUUAAUAGGGAUAGUUGGGGGCAUUAGUAUUCAAUUGUCAGAGGUGAAAUUCUUGGAUUUAUUGAAGACUAACUACUGCGAAAGCAUUUGCCAAGGAUGUUUUCAUUAAUCAAGAACGAAAGUUAGGGGAUCGAAGACGAUCAGAUACCGUCGUAGUCUUAACCAUAAACUAUGCCGACUAAGGGAUCGGAUGAUGUUAUUUUUAAUGACUCAUUC